rnacentral:rRNA from 1 species
GAUGAACGCUGGCGGCGUGCCUAAUACAUGCAAGUCGAGCGAACGGACGAGAAGCUUGCUUCUCUGAUGUUAGCGGCGGACGGGUGAGUAACACGUGGAUAACCUACCUAUAAGACUGGGAUAACUUCGGGAAACCGGAGCUAAUACCGGAUGAUAUUUUGAACCGCAUGGUUCAAAAGUGAAAGACGGUCUUGCUGUCACUUAUAGAUGGAUCCGCGCUGCAUUAGCUAGUUGGCAAGGUAACGGCUUACCAAGGCAACGAUGCAUAGCCGACCUGAGAGGGUGAUCGGCCACACUGGAACUGAGACACGGUCCAGACUCCUACGGGAGGCAGCAGUAGGGAAUCUUCCGCAAUGGGCGAAAGCCUGACGGAGCAACGCCGCGUGAGUGAUGAAGGUCUUCGGAUCGUAAAACUCUGUUAUUAGGGAAGAACAUAUGUGUAAGUAACUGUGCACAUCUUGACGGUACCUAAUCAGAAAGCCACGGCUAACUACGUG